UGGGGAAUAUUGGACAAUGGGCGAAAGCCUGAUCCAGCAACGCCGCGUGAGGGAUGACGGCCUUCGGGUUGUAAACCUCUUUCAGCAGGGACGAAGCGAAAGUGACGGUACCUGCAGAAGAAGGACCGGCCAACUACGUGCCAGCAGCCGCGGUAAUACGUAGGGUCCGAGCGUUGUCCGGAAUUAUUGGGCGUAAAGGGCUCGUAGGCGGGUUGUCGCGUCGGGGGUGAAAACUCAGGGCUUAACCCU
rnacentral:rRNA from 1 species